AUGGAUUUGGGGCUGAUUUGGGUUUUUCUUGUUGCUCUGUUAAAAGGUGUCCAGUGUGAGGUGCAGCUGGUGGAGUCUGGGGGUGGCCUGGUGCAGACUGGGGGGUCCCUGUGGCUCUCCUGUGCAGCCUCUGGAUUCACCUUCAGUGACUACUGGAUGAUUUGGCUCAGACAGACUCCAGAAAAGAAACUGGAGUGGGUUGCAAAUAUUAAUAAAGAUAGCAGUGUCACAAACUAUGCACCAUCCGUGAAGGGCCGGUUCACCAUCUCCAGAGACAAUGCCAAGAACACUCUGUACCUGCAAAUGAACAGUGUGAAGUCUGAGGACACUGCCACUUAUUACUGUGUUACUAACACAGUGAGGGGAACUCAGUGUGAACCCUGA